rnacentral:rRNA from 1 species
GAUGAACGCUGGCGGCGUGCCUAAUACAUGCAAGUCGAGCGAGCAGACGAGGAGCUUGCUCCUCUGACGUUAGCGGCGGACGGGUGAGUAACACGUGGAUAACCUACCUAUAAGACUGGGAUAACUUCGGGAAACCGGAGCUAAUACCGGAUAAUAUAUUGAACCGCAUGGUUCAAUAGUGAAAGACGGUUUUGCUGUCACUUAUAGAUGGAUCCGCGCCGCAUUAGCUAGUUGGUAAGGUAACGGCUUACCAAGGCAACGAUGCGUAGCCGACCUGAGAGGGUGAUCGGCCACACUGGAACUGAGACACGGUCCAGACUCCUACGGGAGGCAGCAGUAGGGAAUCUUCCGCAAAGGGCGAAAGCCUGACGGAGCAACGCCGCGUGAGUGAUGAAGGUCUUCGGAUCGUAAAACUCUGUUAUUAGGGAAGAACAAAUGUGUAAGUAACUAUGCACGUCUUGACGGUACCUAAUCAGAAAGCCACGGCUAACUACGUG